rnacentral:rRNA from 1 species
GAUAGCGAACAAGUAGAGUGAUCGAAAGGUUAAAAGCACCUUGAAAAGGGAGUUAAACAGCACGUGAAAUUGUUGAAAGGGAAGCGCUUGCGGCCAGACUCGGGGGCGGGGUUCAGCGGGUGCUCGUCGCCCGUGUAUUCCUCGUUUCCCGGGCCAGCAUCAGUUUCGACGGCCGGUCAAAGGCCCCCGGAAUGUGUCGUCUCUCGGGACGUCUUAUAGCCGGGGGUGCAAUGCGGCCCGUCGGGACUGAGGAACGCGCUCCGGCUCGGAUGCUGGCGUAAUGGCCGUAAGCGGCCCGUCUUGAAACACGGA